CCUACGGGUGGCAGCAGUAGGGAAUAUUGCGCAAUGGGCGAAAGCCUGACGCAGCGACGCCGCGUGGGUGAUGAAGGCCUUCGGGUUGUAAAACCCUGUCCUUGGGGAAGAAGGAAGUGACGGUACCCAAGGAGGAAGCCCCGGCUAACUACGUGCCAGCAGCCGCGGUAAAACGUAGGGGGCGAGCGUUGUCCGGAAUUACUGGGCGUAAAGGGUGCGUAGGCGGCCUUUUAAGUCAGAUGUGAAAGACCACGGCUUAACCGUGGGGUUGCAUUUGAAACUGGGAGGCUUGAGUGUCGGAGAGGGCAGUGGAAUUCCCGGUGUAGCGGUGAAAUGCGUAGAUAUCGGGAGGAACCCCAGUGGCGAAGGCGGCCUUCUGGUCUUGACCUGACGCUGAGGAGCGAAAGCCAGGGUAGCGAACGGGAUUAGAUACCCCUGUAGUC
rnacentral:rRNA from 1 species